UACGGAGGGGGCUAGCGUUGUUCGGAAUUACUGGGCGUAAAGCGCGCGUAGGCGGACCUGCAAGUCGGGGGUGAAAGCCCGAGGCUCAACCUCGGAACUGCCUUCGAUACUGCGGUCGUCGAGUCCGGAGAGGUGAGUGGAAUUCCGUAGUGUAGAGGUGAAAUUCGUAGAUAUUAGGAAGAACACCAGUGGCGAAGGCGGC
rnacentral:rRNA from 1 species